rnacentral:rRNA from 1 species
UUGACGGGGAGCACCACGAACGGGUGGAGCUUGCGGUUUAAUUGGAUUCAACGCCGGAAAUCUUACCGGGACCGACAGCAAUAUGAAGGCCAGGCUGAAGACUUUGCCGGAUUAGCUGAGAGGUGGUGCAUGGCCGUCGUCAGUUCGUACUGUGAAGCAUCCUGUUAAGUCAGGCAACGAGCGAGACCCACGCCCACAGUUGCCAGCGUACUCUCUGGAGUGACGGGUACACUGUGGGGACCGCCGCUGCUAAAGCGGAGGAAGGAAUGGGCAACGGUAGGUCAGUAUGCCCCGAAUAUCCCGGGCUACACGCGAGCUACAAUGGUUGGUACAAUGGGUAUCUACCCCGAAAGGGGACGGGAAUCUCCUAAAACCAAUCUUAGUUCGGAUUGAGGGCUGCAACUCGCCCUCAUGAAGCUGGAAUCCGUAGUAAUCGCGUUUCAACAGAACGCGGUGAAUACGUCCCUGCUCCUU